rnacentral:lncRNA from 1 species
AUGGCCACGUGUAAAAAUGGCUCCACAAACAAAAUGGCAGAAAGACCAACCCUUGUUGUUCGUCUAGUAAUGGCAAUUCCUCAGAGCCCUAACUGGCAUGACCAUGAGAACCAGCCUGUGCUGUGGCUUCUCACUAAGCCAGCUCCAUGGAGCCCCUUGCACACUCCUGGGCUCCACAGCCUUUUCUCCUGUGGCCAGGCGUCUUGGUCCCUCCUGCCUGCAGCCUGCCUUGCCUGGGCUCUGAGAACCAUGCCCUCACUGGAGGCUGCAGCCCAGGGCUCUGGGGCUGAGCAUCAGGUCUCAGAUAUGCUUCCUAAGACGGCUAUCACAGGACUUCCCAUCCCGCAAGCUCUUCCUACAAGGCAUUGUUGGCUUUCUUUCCACUGAGAGGUGAGGUCUAGUUCCCUGCUAUUGAAUCUGGGAGGGUCUGUGUCUACAGAAAAAGUGACAUUAUGUGAGGCUCAUUCUUAAAAGGCAAUAGAGCUUCUGCCUGGUUCUCUUGGGACACUCGCUCUUGGAAUGCAGCCGCCAUGCUGCGAGGAAGCCCAGCCAUCAGGAGAGGCCACAUUUAGAUCUGGCCGACAGCCCCCACUGAGGUCUGGGCUGACAACCAGCUGUUGAGUGCGGAAGCCUUCCACACAAUUCCUCCCCAGCCACCAUGACUGUGCAAGAACCACCCAGCUGAGCCCAACCAACUCUCCUAACUGUGAGAGGUGAUAAUAAAAAUACUGUUAAUGUUUUAAGCA